rnacentral:lncRNA from 1 species
AAUCUGAUGGCCACACGUGCGUGUUCCAUUGUGGACCUUGGUCAAUGCAAUGUACGCGUGGUAAUCAGAAGCAAUGGUCCAUAUUAGAACAUCCAUGCUUGAUCAGAUGGCCAGGAAGUGGGACGACAUACCACCGGAGCUAGGGCUCCGGUCAUCUUCUCCGAUGACCUCCAUCGGACUGGUCCAACUUCAUUUCAAAGGAAAAUGAUAAACAAUGACACUAUUUCAAAGAGAAAAUGCCCAGGAUCAUAAAUCUAGCCUCAAUUU